rnacentral:rRNA from 1 species
UACAGAGGUCUCAAGCGUUUGUUCGGAUUCAUUGGGCGUAAAGGGUGCGUAGGCGGCGCGGUAAGUCGGGUGUGAAAGCCCUCAGCUUAACUGAGGAAGUGCAUUCGAAACUACUAGGCUUGAGUACUGAAGAGGACGACGGAAUUCCCGGUGUAGAGGUGAAAUUCGUAGAUAUCGGGAGGAACACCGAUGGCGAAGGCAGGUCUCUGGGCCAUAACUGACGCUGAGAAGGCGAAAGCAUGGGGGAGCAAACAGG